rnacentral:rRNA from 1 species
CUUCGGCUACCACUUACAGAUGGACCCGCGGCGCAUUAGCUAGUUGGUGAGGUAACGGCUCACCAAGGCGACGAUGCGUAGCCGACCUGAGAGGGUGAUCGGCCACACUGGGACUGAGACACGGCCCAGACUCCUACGGGAGGCAGCAGUAGGGAAUCUUCCGCAAUGGACGAAAGUCUGACGGAGCAACGCCGCGUGAGUGAUGAAGGUUUUCGGAUCGUAAAGCUCUGUUGUUAGGGAAGAACAAGUGCCGUUCAAAUAGGGCGGCACCUUGACGGUACCUAACCAGAAAGCCACGGCUAACUACGUGCCAGCAGCCGCGGUAAUACGUAGGUGGCAAGCGUUGUCCGGAAUUAUUGGGCGUAAAGGGCUCGCAGGCGGUUUCUUAAGUCUGAUGUGAAAGCCCCCGGCUCAACCGGGGAGGGUCAUUGGAAACUGGGGAACUUGAGUGCAGAAGAGGAGAGUGGAAUUCCACGUGUAGCGGUGAAAUGCGUAGAGAUGUGGAGGAACACCAGUGGCGAAGGCGACUCUCUGGUCUGUAACUGACGCUGAGGAGCGAAAGCGUGGGGAGCGAACAGGAUUAGAUACCCUGGUAGUCCACGCCGUAAACGAUGAGUGCUAAGUGUUAGGGGGUUUCCGCCCCUUAGUGCUGCAGCUAACGCAUUAAGCACUCCGCCUGGGGAGUACGGUCGCAAGACUGAAACUCAAAGGAAUUGACGGGGGCCCGCACAAGCGGUGGAGCAUGUGGUUUAAUUCGAAGCAACGCGAAGAACCUUACCAGGUCUUGACAUCCUCUGACAAUCCUAGAGAUAGGACGUCCCCUUCGGGGGCAGAGUGACAGGUGGUGCAUGGUUGUCGUCAGCUCGUGUCGUGAGAUGUUGGGUUAAGUCCCGCAACGAGCGCAACCCUUGAUCUUAGUUGCCAGCAUUCAGUUGGGCACUCUAAGGUGACUGCCGGUGACAAACCGGAGGAAGGUGGGGAUGACGUCAAAUCAUCAUGCCCCUUAUGACCUGGGCUACACACGUGCUACAAUGGACAGAACAAAGGGCAGCGAAACCGCGAGGUUAAGCCAAUCCCACAAAUCUGUUCUCAGUUCGGAUCGCAGUCUGCAACUCGACUGCGUGAAGCUGGAAUCGCUAG